CAUGUCGUCCUUACAACAAUUCAGCAAGAAACAUAUUAUUCGAUCCAUUCACUGAAGAGGAAACUGAAAUCACUCAGAGAGGAGGAGUGAUUCAGCCCCAAAUUCCAAAGUGGUAGAAGUGGACUUGGGCUCAGCUUCCCUAGUGUCUUAGCUACUCCCCCAUCUAACUGUUCAUUCCUGGGACAGGUGAGACAGGGGUAUAUGUCAGAGCCAUUCUUCAAGAUCAGAUGACCUGUUAAGUCCAAGGACUCAUCUGAACCAUCAGUCACUCUCUGGCCCAGAGAGGUGGUGUUGUUUGCCAAGGACACACAGCAGGUGGCCAAGAUGGAGCCAAGCCAUUUUCCCCACUGCAGGGCUCAUGGUUUCGACUUUGUUGGUUCUCUAGCAGGACGCGGGUGUCCUCAAGGUCACAGCUCUUUCCUGGCUGUCAGUUCCGAGUCCAGCCUCUCCUCGCAUUGCUGCAGACGCUUUCUGAGGAACUCGUUCUCCAUCUGAGCACAGUCGAAGCGCAUUUGCCACUCGUCUGCUGUUUAACGGAGUCAGGGAGACCAGGAUAAAAGACCAAAUGAGUACCCCUGAUCUCCAUAAGUGUCCCUGACAUUUCAAGGGCACAAAUUCUCUGGACACACGGAGGGAAUAAUGCUGACAUUUUAUAGAAGCUGACCCACUGGAUAUCCUUCUCACCCAACUCCAUUAGGCUAGGGAGAGUAAGAGGCAUGGUGACAAGGUGGCAAAGAUGUCACCAUGCCAUCCAAUCACGAGGUCUCCAGGAAACUGUAUAAGAAGGACACCCCCAGAAACUCCUGGCACUACUGAA
rnacentral:antisense_RNA from 1 species